AACGAACGCUGGCGGCAGGCUUAACACAUGCAAGUCGAACGCCCCGCAAGGGGAGUGGCAGACGGGUGAGUAACGCGUGGGAAUCUACCGUACCCUACGGAAUAACGCAUGGAAACGUGUGCUAAUACCGUAUACGCCCUUAGGGGGAAAGAUUUAUCGGGGUAUGAUGAGCCCGCGUUGGAUUAGCUAGUUGGUAGGGUAAAGGCCUACCAAGGCGACGAUCCAUAGCUGGUCUGAGAGGAUGAUCAGCCACAUUGGGACUGAGACACGGCCCAAACUCCUACGGGAGGCAGCAGUGGGGAAUAUUGGACAAUGGGCGCAAGCCUGAUCCAGCCAUGCCGCGUGAGUGAUGAAGGUCUUAGGAUUGUAAAGCUCUUUCACCGAUGAAGAUAAUGACGGUAGUCGGAGAAGAAGCCCCGGCUAACUUCGUGCCAGCCGCCGCUGUAAAAC
rnacentral:rRNA from 1 species